GCAGAAGCUGCGGGGCAGCGACUACCCCCUGAUCGCCCGUGUGCUGCAGGGCCCCUGUGAACAGGUCUCCAAGGUUUUCCUCAUGGAGAAGGACCAGGUGGAGGAGGUCACCUAUGACGUCGCUCAGUACAUCAAGUUUGAGAUGCCCAUCCUCAGGAGCUUCAUCCAGAAGCUGGAGGAGGAGGAGGAUCGUGAAGUGAAGAAGCUGAUGCAGAAAUACACCAUCCUCCGGGUGAUGAUCAAGCAGAGGCUGGAGGAGAUCUCGGAAGGUCCGACUGCGAUGUGAGACCCUUCAGCAGAGCCAUGUGCCUGUAGGAUGUACUGUACCAAAUCCCAAAGCCCCAGCAUUCCCAGCACAUUCCCAGCGUCCGCCUGGAUCGCUCCAGCUCUGAGCCAGCCCAUCCUCCCGUGCCUUCACCUGCGCAGCGUCCCCGGGAGGUUCCUCCUCGGCACCUGGGGCUCUUCCCAGCAAGGCUCUGGCUGGUGGCAGCUUCAGCCAAAACCUCAAAUCCCUGGAAAACACAGGGAAAAACAGGGGGAAAAAAAAAAAAAGAAGAGAGAGAGAGAGGAAAUCCAUGAGCAGCACAGUGAGGGCUACAGGUGUUCCAGAGCAGGAAUUUGGGGCCGAGUCUGGGGACACCCACACAGAGGACCCGCUGCUCGGUGGCAGGAGAGCACCAACAGUUAUAAUUCCUCUUUUUUUUUUUCUUUUUUUUUUUUUUUCCCCUUAAGAAAAGCACAUUUCUAUUGCAAUAAUUCGCGGGUGAUGGGAAGUUUUCGUAAAUCCAAAGUGUUGACUGAGAUUUUGGGGGGGUUUAACCCUGACCUGGUGGAUUUACAGCACAGGAGUAAAUGGCAUUUUUCCGUGUGUUCCCCAAACCUGCAUCUGGUGGCGUCACCCCCUCCCUCCCCCUUUUCUAAUUUGCACUAAUAUUAGGGAUUUUUAAGGAAAUCAUGAUGUCAAACCUCUCUGGGUAGCUGUAAAUGCCAAAUAGCACUCGCAGGGAUAGUUGGGGGCAUCUCAAGGGAUGCUGGAUGGAAAGGGAGGGAGACAGGAGGAGGAGGAGGAGGAGGCAGAAAUAAAGAGGAUUUUAUUUUCCAAAUCCAUCUUCCAGUGGUGCCAGCACAUUAUCCUGGUGAAACCAGGCUGGCACUGUUACCACCACCACCUGGAAAAACCUCUUUCCUCCCAGGCUAAACCAGCAAUAUCAAUUUUAUACCUCGAUGUGAACUAAGACUCUGACUUUCUCCCUCCCUUUGAGUUUUUGCAAUGUAUCUUUGUAAUUUUUUUUUUUUUUAAGUGUUAAUGGUACCUUUUCCACCUCUAACACGUGUUCAGGAAAGUGUUGUACAGCGAGAGGAGCCUUUUAUGUGUUUGAAGGAUGAUUGUGGCAUUGCUGCGUGGAUUAACAAGAAAAUAAAAUAUGUAGCAACUUAAUACAGAAUAAAA